AACUCACUGCAACUCAAUAUUUAUUUCUUCUUAGCCUUGUGUUUGGCACCAAAGAUAAAAGAGUUACAGACCAAUUCCCUUCAAUGAGCAUAUAAUCUAACUGGAAAAAGAAUUAGUGUGAGGAAAUAAUCCAACGAUGCUAAACAGACAUGGAGAUGAAGGAACAGGCUGUGGUCCGUGGAUCUGAGUUUCAAAAAUGAUGGUUCUGAGAGUGAUGGAGAAACUGCAGAGGAGGCAGGAGAAGGAAUACUGCCAAAUGCGUUUUUCCUCUGGUUGGGAAAACAAAAUCUUCUCUACAUACUGUGUGACAAGUCUGUGACAUGUGGCUGCUUCUAGGAAUGAGAAAAACUAGAAAGGAGAUAACAGGAUUUCAGGAUCCUGAUCUGCCACCUGAAGUUGAGUGUGUCACCACUGGAGCAUAACCAAUAUCUUCUUAAUAGGAAAGGAAGGAAAAUAAAUACCAA
rnacentral:lncRNA from 1 species